rnacentral:tRNA from 1 species
CAGGAAGUAGUUUAUUAAAAAUAUUAAUUUUGGAGAUUAAUGAUGAAAGAGAGAUCCUUUCUGA